rnacentral:misc_RNA from 1 species
UUUUUUUUUUUUUUUUUUUGGGUCAUGUACUACAGCAUUUCACACAGCCAGGAAUGCCAUUGCAACCUAGAUCCAAGUAAUUUUCCAUGCAAAAAAUGGAAUGGAGUCAACACCAAGCCACAAAUGUUUUAUACAUGAGAUUAAAUGCAAGCACUCAAGCCCUCACCGACAUAAACGCCCAUCCAUGCAAAUAUUUUCUAAAAGAUAAUUUUCAUGUUUGAAUUUUACAUACCUGACCACCCAG